GGGAGUGGCUCUUCUCAGUAAAGUGGCUGAAGGGUAAUGAACCCAAAAUACCUAAGUAGCAAAUGAGUCACCGAACUUCCACAGCUGGCUGUGUUGUGGGUCAGAGGAAAACUUCUGUAAGGUGGGCCUCUCCUUCUCCCAUGUGAGUUCUGGGGAUUGAAGUCAGGUGGACAAGGUAAAGUGUUCUCCAAGACCCAGGCUCUUCCAUAAUGAGAACAAACUGGAGGCUCUUGAGAGGACUUAAAAGAUACCUCAUGAAGAAGAUAUCAGCCAAGUCAACUAUAGAUGAUGGAAAACCUUCGUCCCAUGGAGGCUCUGACAACAAAGAUGCCACAAGAUGGGACUUCUGCUAGAACACUUGCUUGCCUGAGCAUGUGCAUCAAGCCCUGGGUUCCUUCCUAGCACCACAAAAUUAAAAAAUAAACAGGACAGCG
rnacentral:lncRNA from 1 species